rnacentral:rRNA from 1 species
UACAGAGGUCUCAAGCGUUGUUCGGAAUCACUGGGCGUAAAGCGUGCGUAGGCUGUUUCGUAAGUCGUGUGUGAAAGGCGCGGGCUCAACCCGCGGACGGCGCAUGAUACUGCGAGACUAGAGUAAUGGAGGGGGAACCGGAAUUCUCGGUGUAGCAGUGAAAUGCGUAGAUAUCGAGAGGAACACUCGUGGCGAAGGCGGGUUCCUGGACAUUAACUGACGCUGAGGCACGAAGGCCAGGGGAGCGAAAGGG